rnacentral:rRNA from 1 species
GAUUGAACGCUGGCGGCAGGCCUACCACAUGCAAGUCGAGCGGAUGAAGGGAGCUUGCUCCUGGAUUCAGCGGCGGACGGGUGAGUAAUGCCUAGGAAUCUGCCUGGUAGUGGGGGAUAACGUCCGGAAACGGGCGCUAAUACCGCAUACGUCCUGAGGGAGAAAGUGGGGGAUCUUCGGACCUCACGCUAUCAGAUGAGCCUAGGUCGGAUUAGCUAGUUGGUGGGGUAAAGGCCUACCAAGGCGACGAUCCGUAACUGGUCUGAGAGGAUGAUCAGUCACACUGGAACUGAGACACGGUCCAGACUCCUACGGGAGGCAGCAGUGGGGAAUAUUGGACAAUGGGCGAAAGCCUGAUCCAGCCAUGCCGCGUGUGUGAAGAAGGUCUUCGGAUUGUAAAGCACUUUAAGUUGGGAGGAAGGGCAGUAAGUUAAUACCUUGCUGUUUUGACGUUACCAACAGAAUAAGCACCGGCUAACUUCGU